GAUGAACGCUGGCGGCGUGCCUAAUACAUGCAAGUCGAGCGAACGGACGAGAAUCUUGCUUCUCUGAUGUUAGCGGCGGACGGGUGAGUAACACGUGGAUAACCUACCUAUAAGACUGGUAUAACUUCGGGAAACCGGAUCUAAUCCCGGAUGAUCUUUUGAACCGUAUUGUGCAAAAGUGAAAUACGGUCGUGCUGUCAGUUAUCGAUGGUUCCGCGCUGCAUUAGCUAGUUGGUAAGGUAAAGGCUUACCAAGGGAACGAUGCAUAGGCGACCGGAGAGGGUGAUAGCCCACCCGGGAGCGGAGACACGGUCCAGACUCCUACGGGAGGCAGCAGUAUGGAACCUGCCGCAAUGGGCGAAAGCCUUACGGAGCAGCGCCGCGUGAGUGAUGAAGGUCUUCGGAUCGUAAAACUCUGUUAUUAGGGAAGAACAUAUGUGUAAGUAACUGUGCACAUCUUGACGGUACCUAAUCAGAAAGCCACGGCUAACUACGUG
rnacentral:rRNA from 1 species